GGCGCUUCGGGAGAGGCCUGCGGCCCAUCAGCUAGUUGGUAGGGUAACGGCCUACCAAGGCAGAGACGGGUAGGGGGCGUGAGAGCGCGGACCCCCACACUGGCACUGCGACACGGGCCAGACUCCUACGGGAGGCAGCAGUAAGGAAUAUUGCGCAAUGGACGAAAGUCAGACGCAGCGACGCCGCGUGGGCGAUGAAGGCCUUCGGGUUGUAAAGCCCUUUUAUGGGGGAAGAGAAAAAGGACGGUACCCCAUGAAUAAGUCCCGGCUAACUACGUGCCAGCAGCCGCGGUAAAACGUAGGGGACAAGCGUUAUCCGGAUUCACUGGGGCGUAAAGAGCGUUGAGGCGGUUCCCGUAAUUUGGGCGUGAAAGCUCCGGGCUUAACCCGGAGAUGUCGUUCAAUACUGCGGGGCUUGAGGACAGCAGAGGAAGGUGGAAUUCCCGGUGUAGUGGUGAAAUGCGUAGAUAUCGGGAGGAACACCCGUGGCGAAGGCGGCCUUCUGGGCUGUUCCUGACGCUGAAGGCGAAAGCUAGGGGAGCGAACGGGAUUAGAUACCCCGGUAGUCCUAGCUGUAAACGAUGGAUGCUGGGUGUGGGGGGUGUAAAUUCCCUCUGUGCCGAAGCAAACGCGUUAAGCAUCCCGCCUGGGGACUACGGCCGCAAGGCUAAAACGCAAACGAAUUGACGGGGGCCCGCACAAGCAGCGGAGCGUGUGGUUUAAUUCGAUGCUACACGAAGAACCUUACCUGGGUUUGACAUGCACGUGGUAGGGAACCGAAAGGGGACCGACCUUCGGGAGCGUGCACAGGUGCUGCAUGGCUGUCGUCAGCUCGUGCCGUGAGGUGUCGGGUUAAGUCCCGUAACGAGCGCAACCCUUGCCCUUAGUUACAAGUGUCUAAGGGGACUGCCCGGGACAACUGGGAGGAAGGUGGGGAUGACGUCAAGUCAGCAUGGCCUUUAUAUCCAGGGCUACACACACGCUACAAUGGCCAGUACAAUAGGUAGCCAAGUCGUGAGACGGAGCCAAUCACUUAAAGCUGGUCUCAGUUCGAAUUGCAG
rnacentral:rRNA from 1 species